UACGUAGGGUGCAAGCGUUGUUCGGAAUCAUUGGGCGUAAAGCGCGUGUAGGUGGUUAUGUAAGUCGGGUGUGAAAUCCCUGGGCUCAACCGAGGAAGUGCAUCCGAAACUACAUAGCUAGAGGACAGUAGAGGAAGGUGGAAUUCCUAGUGUAGAGGUGAAAUUCGUAGAUAUUAGGAGGAAUACCGGUGGCGAAGGCGGCCUUCUGGGCUGGACCUGACACUGAGACGCGAAAGCGUGGGUAGCAAACAGG
rnacentral:rRNA from 1 species